AUAUGGAAAUGUAGGGAGGGAGGGGAAGGAUCAGAGUCAGGGAAACCAGGAAUGGGUGUAUUGCAAGAGUUCGGGUAAGAGACAGUGAGGUCCUUAGCUGGGAUACUGGCUUUGAGAUGAAGAAGACGUGGAAGAUUUGAGAGCUAUUUAGGAGGGAUGGAGUGGGGUGGGAAGAGAGAAAGAAAACAGGAUGUCCUAGUUAUUAAUGCUUUACAGGUGGGAUGAUGGGCAGAACAUGGAAAGAUGGUGUGAGAAGGGGAGAGUCCCACAGGCUGAUGGUGGCAUUCCUGCUCCUGCUCUGAGCUCACCCAGCCCUGUGGCACUCCAACUUCUACUAACUGGUGGGGUCACACUCCCAGUAUUUUCCAGAGAGAAGUACUGAGAAGCUUAAAGUAUUUGAAUGGGAGGAGGAGAAGCAAACUACAGCUACUUCAGAGGAUAACACUAAACACCUAGUCCACUCUGUAUACACUAGAGGUGCUGUUAAUUUUCUUGUGGAGAAGGAACUGUCUUUAGAAAAAUAUCUCAAAAAGCCACUGAAGUAGAAAGUUUCAGCAUGCUGAAGAUGGAACUUGAGAAGAUAGAAAGUUCUGGGUCCUUAGUGGCAUGACUGAGUCGCUGGACCACUGUUGGAACCACCCUAUGUCUUAGUUUUUAAAUCUCUUUACUGUCUAAGACAUUUUUAGUGGAAGUAUUUAUCUCUGGCAUCCAAUAAGACCUUUAAGGAUUUGCAGUUUUAUCUAUGUGUUUGUUUAUUGUCUGCUCCACCCUACUUGAUUGUGAUCACCAUGACAUCAAUGACUGUGCAUCUUUUGUUCACUCAGGAAUAUCCAGUGCCUGCCACGCAGAGUGUGCUGCAUGUACAUGCUCACUUGAUAUCUGUUGUAGCAAAGAGUGAAAGAGAGAAGGAAUAAAUGCUUUCUCCCAUGAUGAGGGGACAUGGGGUCCAGACAAGCUGGACCAUUAUCCCAGGCCCAGCGCUCUGCUUUAUUUUUUUUUUUCCAGUACAGCAUCACAUUCAGUUACAACAGAGUGAAAUCUCCUAAGAACACGGCUGAUUAUUUCUUGAUUGCAAAAAGGACUCACUAACCCUCCGAUCUCCUGUAACGCAAGUCAAUGCUCUUCUAAUCUCCUUUUAGACAGCACCUGUACUUGUCAGUCAACGCAUGGUAGUCUGGGCUAGCCAAGUGAAUCCUUAACUAAACUGAAGUGGUGCUGAUCAUUCAGCCUUCAGAAUUGAAAAAAUCACAGCAUUGCUGAAGGAAAAGGCAUUUUUCAGGUAGAGAGGCAUAAGUCUUGGGCCAGGAAGCUUCAGUAAGAAGACAAUAAUUUCAUAGAAAUGCAUUAGCUUGGGGAGUCCAACUGCUGUUCUUGCACCUAAGAAAUUCAGAGGAGAGCUCUUUGCUUCCUUGCUCAUUCCAGUGGUUAGGAGUCAGGCCUUGUCCCAGAAUGUUCAGGUUGAUGCUUACCAUUUAAGCCUUAAGUUAAUCCGUUGAAGCUCCAGGCCUUUUAUGGGAUUCACAAGAAUAAACAGCAUUUAACUAUAGAUUCUCAAAGGUCAAAUCUUCAACCUAAAUCUGAGGAUUCAAAGCAUUGUUCACUCUAAUAAUUCUGCUAGUUCCCAACUUCACACAAACCAUUUAUUUCAGAAUGUAAACCUUGAAUAAUCUUUUCUUACUUGUAGUUUUGUGGUCAUUUAGAAAACAGCAAUACUCUAUUUUAAUUGGAACUAAGUGACAAAAAUAAGCCACUUCAUUAGUUUUCUAGAUAACGGUAAAAUGUAAGAACAAAAAGCCACUUCUUUUUCCACGUGGUAUUUUACAGUGACUUUUUUUUUUCUUUUUACUGCAUUUUAAAAUUCUACUGGAGGCAUUUCUCGGAAACUUUCUCUUACUUGUUAAUGAAUCAUCCCCUUUGAGAAUCAGCAGGUGAUUUCAGGAGCCCAGGUGUGAAUAAUUGAUUUAAGGUCGACCUUGUGGGUGGAGCCAAUGUUUACCAAGUGCAUUCAUUCGACAAACAAUUGAUGAACACCAAAUUAGAGUUCAAUUCCAGAUAACAAAAACCAGUUGAACUAAUUUCAUCAGAAAGCUACUUAAUAGGGGUAAUUAGGUGCUUACAAAAUAGAAGGGCUGGAAGCCCAGGAUCUAGGCUGACACCCAUGUAGCUAGACCCUGGAAACUGGGAUUCCAGCUGCACAGAACAGCCAAGUGUGUUCAUGACUGUGCUUGUUUGUCAGCAGGAGCAUGGCCCUGCCUUGUGAUACUGUGUUUUUCAGCUCUCACGUGGCUGAGUCUGUUUGGAGAAGUUGGUUCAAGAUGCAGCUUGACUCUCAGGGAGUCUGAAUAACUACCCUUAAUAUUGUUAGCUUUCUGGUCUCCAGCACACAGUAUGAUUUUCUGGAAGAAGGAUUUAAUGUAGUUAAAUAUGCCAACGUGUAAUAUCUGAUGUACAUUUCUACCCUGCUUGGGAUACAAAAUAAAUAAAAGCCAGUUUCUGUCUGUAAGGAGUGUACAGUUUAGUAAGAAGACAGACUCCUGAACAAAGAUGUAUACUUCAAUGUUGCCAGCCCAGGAUUAGAGAUGGGUAUUAAGAGGACCUCUGAUGAGUGAUAUUUUGCAUCUGGUGCAGGACAGUUCCCUAGGUGGCCUUGGACCAAACCAGUCCUCCCGCUUUCUCACUUGUAGUUUUAAGAAUAACUAGAAUGUGCUGGGAAUGCAACAUCCCGAGAUAAGGCCUAGGCUCUGUUCCAGUCCCCGCUAGAAACAGGAUGUCCUUCAGCACAUUAAUCCAGCAGGUCAUGUUAUCCCUGGAGUAGAAAACCCAGAGACGGCUACUUUCCAGGGUCCUGCAUCUGGGGUGCAAGUGAGGCACACGCAGAUGAGACUCCACCUGCCCUGGGCAGCUUUCCUGAGCCUUGAGAAACCAGCUCACCAUGAAUCCAAGGUGUCUGCUGUUCCUUGCCACCAUUUCAUGGAACCUGUUGUAUGUGUGAGUAUUCUCUCUUACCGGAGCAAGUAGUCAAAGUGCAGCCCAAGAUGCAGUGGGCUGAAGUAACCAGUGCAUAGUGAGCCUGCUUCUCACUGGGAUUUGAUUAAUCAUUUGAAAAUGCAUUAUUCUAAGUGCUUAACUUUAAAAGGGAAAAUAUUCUACUAUGAACGUGGACUCCCUAAAACAACAGAUUAAGGGAAGGCUGAAAGUGAUGACCCCUUUAAUUCCUGCUUUCCCAAGGAGACCCUCUGAUUCCCUGUGUGGUCCUUCCAUUUCCCCUUCAGGAGGCUGAAUGCCAUCGUGUCCACUUAUUUAGGCAAAGGAGAUGAAUGGGUUGCUUGGCUGCGGUUAGUCAUCAGGCCACUGGCAGAGUAGACUGGCACACGGAAAUCCUGAAGCUGAAUUCACUGUUACCUUUUGAGUCACUGUUACCCACCCACCCCAGACUUCCUCCCACCCCUAGUCUGAACCUGGAUCCUAUUCAAAGAUGUUUUCCCAUCUCUUUCCACUUACCUUCUGAAUUCAUUUUGGAGGAAUGUACCAAGAUCCUUUGAAUCCUCCAGGAAUGUUGAACUCAGUGAAAAGUGAUGUGGUUAAGAAAGCAAAUAAUAUGCUGAAAGAUGUUCAUUGGAAGUGGCUAGGGACAUCAAAGAAAUUGAUGAAUCUGCAUUUCAAAAAGCCAGCAGGGGGUAACAUUUCAGCUUACCUCAUAUUUCUCCUGCUUCUAAAUUGGCUAUUUACUGCCCAUGAAGUUUCUUCCUUCCCAUCAGGGCAGAAUACUAAUAUAGUUAGCCCCAGGAAAGAGAUGUCUGGAAAUGGUAUUGUCUUCUUAAAUCAAAGCAGCUGAAAGAAAUUUGUCUCUUUUAUUAACAAUGAAAUAUAGUUGCUAUCAAUGAGCAUCUACUGUAUUUCAGGCACUGUACUUAAACACUCUACAUGCAUUAUGCCAUUUAAUCCUCAAUCGUAUUGCUGAGAUCGAUAAUAUCAUUGACCCUAUUGUAUAGUUUGGGAAAAGGAGGGUAGCGAGAUUAGGAAAAUCGCCCAACUUGGCAACUGCUGGAGCAAGGAUUUGAGCUCUGUUGACCAUAUUGAUCACUAUAUGAUGUUGUCUCAUUGCCUUUAAACAACACUAGGGUUGGGUUAGGGUAGCAGAGGAUGUAUAUAAUAACACACACUGUUUAGUGAGAGUAAUUUUCCAGAACAAGCAAGAAAGGAGAAAUGCUUCAAUAAUCUUCUGAAGUUUAGUUUCCAUGGACAGUUAUGGAUUGCUAAGAAAUUGUCAAUAAAGGUAAGGGCCACGGAAGAAGCAGAAAUAAGCUGCACAGGCCAGGCACUGUGCCAUGUCAGUGGCAGAGCCACACCGUCACCUUCAUCAGAGCCCAAGGUCUGAAGACACUGAAAAGAAGAUCUGGCCACCAAAUGCCCUCAACAAGGGGUUGUCCAGACCCUGCUUCAACAUUGUCAGCAGCAGGGCAUGCUCCACCUCAGCAGACAGCCACUUUUGUUUUCAAGUAACUCUCUAAUUGCAAAAAAUGUACUUUGUAUUCAUCCAAAUCGGUGUCCAGGUAGCAUUCACAAGUAUUUGGGAGGCAGAGGCAGGAGGAUUCCUAGAGGACAGGAGUUCGUAUCCUCUGAAAACAUGUAGAAUAAAUCCAACUCCUUUCCCAUAUGAUAGUUCUUUGGAUAUUCAAAGCCCUUCCCCACACACCCAGCUGGCUUCUUAACCAUCCUUCAUACUGUGUGGAUUUGAACCAUUCUCCAUUGCAGUCUUUCUCCUUUAGGCACAUUAUAGUUUUGCGAAAAGUAUUUUGUUAGGUGAAGUACACAAAAUUAAAUAAGGCAUGUUUAGUGUCUUUAAGUAUCUCUUAAAGACAAUUGUAUGAGAUUAACUAUUGUCAAAAGCCCCCUUAAAAACUCUUCCGAGGUUCUGAGCAUGGGUGGGUCAUGUCUGUAAUCCCCACACUUCGGGAGGCCAAGGCAGGAGGAUCAUUUGAGGCCAGGAGUUUGAGACCAGCCUGGGCAAUAUAGUGAGACCCCAUCUCUACCAAUAAAUUAAUAAAAAUUAAAUUAAAAAACUACACCUAGAUAUAGACCAUUUGAAGAGUUCAGAGUGGAACUAUGAUGUCCCUACCUUGGACAGUAUACCUCCUUUAAGGAGACCUAAGUUUACAUUAGCAUUUGGAGUUGUGUUGAGUCAACUAAGCCUCUAAGUGUUUUUCACACUGACAGCUGCUAAGCCACAAACCAAGGGCAAUCACUACAGAGACAUGGAAUAAGAAAGAAUGAGUGUUUUCCAGGCUUUCUCUCCCAUUUAGUGAUUUGUGUUCGCACUACCUAUUCAUUCAUUACUUUACUUACUUGCUCAUCCCACAAACAUUUACUGAAUACUUAAGUCUGUCUAAUUAUGCAUAACAUACUUGGGUGGCCUGAAUGGGAAAGAAAUAUCAGACAUUACUUCCUGCCUUUAAAGAGACCUAUAAUUUAGCUAGGGAGGGAAAAAGAAAAAUAACUACAAAACGAAGUAACCUCUCAAAGCAUCACAUAAUGGAAAAAACACAGAAUUGAAUCUGGAACCUGGGUUAUAGAAAAGAGCUUUUUUUUUUUUUUUUUUUUUUGAGCUAGGAUCUUGUCUAUCACCCAGGUUGGAGUGCAAGAUCACAACUCUCUGUAGCCUUGACAUCCUGGGCUUAAGGCAAUCCUCCCACCUCAGCCUCUGGAGUAGCUAAGACUACAGGCACACACCAUCACAUCCAGCUAAUUUUUCUAGUUUUGGUAAAGAUGAGGUUUUACCAUGUUGCCCAGGCUAGUCUCAUACUCCUGUGUUCAAGCGAUCUGCCUGCCUGGGCCUCCCGAAGUGCUCUGAUUACAGGUGUGAGCCACUGUGUCUGACCUAGACAAGAGCACUGACUAAAGAUAAUCACAUUUACUCUCUAGAUCUCAGUUAUCUCAUUUAAAUAAUGAGACACCUGGACUUUUGGGGUUCUUUCUAUUUCUAAGGAUCUGUGCUUCCAAGUGCAAGAUAACUGUAAGCUUCUUGAGGGCAGGGAUCAUACUUCAUGUACAACUGAAUUUCCCAUUAAAUUUGUUACAGUUUUAACUCAUAAUAUCACACAAUACAUAUUUAUUGAAUGGUCUAAUGAAUUCAGAUUAAAUUGGCUUCAGCUUGGGAUACAAAAU
rnacentral:lncRNA from 10 species